UUUGAGCAAGUAAAUAAAUCACUUGUUUCUUUUGCAUAACCAAUGCAUUCCAUAUGAAACCAUCUAUUUGGAAUGCAGUUAGCACAUUUUAUCUAUAAAACAGUAGUGGUUUUUCAGUUUACAUAUUUACAAUGGAGGAAAUAUUGGUUAAUUGUGUUUUAUGUAAAAAAUUGACCGAUAAUGAUAAAUAUCAUUUUGGAUGUUAUACAUUAUGGGAAAAUGAUCUUCUCAAAAUUUGCAACACAUGUGCAGUGACUCAUCAUGUUAUAGUGUGAUGUUUUCUAAAUGACUUUAUGUGAUAGUGUGAACGUUUUCUGACUGGCAGAAGGAUAUUCAGUUUUCUUUUUGCCCAACCUUGUCAGUCUGGUGCUAAAAAG